AGCAGGAGACUUAACUGAUUACAAUUCAAGAAAAGUGUCUUCCAAAACAGUAGAAAAAGAAAACACACCCAGGAGACUGAAACACCAUGAAAAGGAGCCUUUUUUGGAAGACAUGGUCAUGGUCUUGAGCCCCGUGUUUUUGGCUUUCAUGCUGUAUCUGGGCCUGAUCCCACAAACCCUGGCCCAAAAUGAUCGGUACAAGGAAUUUCUAAGGAAGCACUAUGAUCCUAAACCAAAAGGCCACGAUGACAGCUACUGUGAUACCAUGAUGAAGAGACGAAACAUGACUAAACCCUGCAAAGACACCAACACCUUUGUUCAUGGCAACAGUGAUGACAUUAGGGCUGUCUGUGAUGAUAGAAAUGGAGAACCUUACAGAGACGGUCUUAGAAGAAGCAUGUCUGCCUUCCAGAUCACCACCUGCACACAUAGAGGAGGGUCCACCCGGCCUCCAUGCCGGCCUUCAGGGAAAAUAUUCUCUGAGAAUAAUCCAAACUGUUCCCAGUGCAAGAAGCUCUCAAGAGUAAGCUUGAAUUCCUCUUCUGCCAGUUCUCUGUAACAGCUGACCCCAGACCCACUCCCAGGUAUGACACAGAUCCUUCCACACUUGUCCCUGUUCUUUCUAAACAGUAAUAACUCCACAUUUGGCCAUGAAACUGAUUCCCUUAGGGAAUCAGUUCUUCUACUUCUGCUUCCAUUCACUACCUGGUGAAACUGCUUUCACUGCUCUCCUCACAAGCAGCUGAUGGAUUGACUUGCCCUGGGAUCCAUCGUCAACAAUCCUCUCUGAUCGCCCUUCCCUGGGCUCAAGGUUCCCUGAAAGUCCCUCAUCUUCAUAGCUUUCAGCGUAUAUCUUAUUGUCUCAUCUUUGUAUAUUAGUGCUCUGAUCCUUCCCCCUGGCUGAUCUCCCCGUGGGUGCUGCACCCUG
rnacentral:lncRNA from 1 species